AUUUAUAUAGUAUAGAUAGUAUAUUUGACUUCCAAUCAUAAGGUUUAAAUUUUUUAAUAUAAAUA
rnacentral:tRNA from 1 species